AGAGUUUGAUCAUGGCUCAGAAUCAACGCUGGCGGCGCGCCUAACACAUGCAAGUCGCACGAGAAAGUGGAGCAAUCCAUGAGUAAAGUGGCGUACGGGUGAGUAACACGUGGAUCAUCUACCUCUUAGUGGGGAAUAACCCUGGGAAACCGGGGCUAAUACCGCAUAAUCUCGGGAGAGGAAAGCAGCAAUGCGCUGAGAGAGGAGUCCGCGGCCGAUUAGCUAGUUGGUAGGGUAAAAGCCUACCAAGGCAAAGAUCGGUAGCCGGCCUGAGAGGGCACACGGCCACACUGGCACUGAAACACGGGCCAGACUCCUACGGGAGGCAGCAGUGGGGAAUCUUGCACAAUGGGGGAAACCCUGAUGCAGCGACGCCGCGUGAGCGAUGAAGCCCUUCGGGGUGUAAAGCUCUUUCGGCAGGGAAGAUUAUGACGGUACCUGCAGAAGCAGCUGCGGCUAACUACGUGCCAGCAGCCGCGGUAAUACGUAGGCAGCAAGCGUUGUUCGGAGUUACUGGGCGUAAAGGGUGUGUAGGCGGUUGCUUAAGUUUGGUGUGAAAUCUCCCGGCUCAACUGGGAGGGUGCGCCGAAUACUGAGUGACUCGAGUGCGGGAGAGGAAAGUGGAAUUCCUGGUGUAGCGGUGAAAUGCGUAGAUAUCAGGAGGAACACCGGUGGUGUAGACGGCUUUCUGGACCGUAACUGACGCUGAGACACGAAAGCGUGGGUAGCAAACAGGAUUAGAUACCCUGGUAGUCCACGCCCUAAACGAUGCAUAUUUGGUGUGAGUCAUUCAGUUGAUUCGUGCCGGAGCUAACGCGUUAAAUAUGCCGCCUGGGGAGUACAGUCGCAAGGCUGAAACUCAAAGGAUUGACGGGGCCCGCACAAGCGUGGAGCAUGUGGUUCAAUUCGACGCACGCGAAGAACCUUACCUGGGCUCGAACG
rnacentral:rRNA from 1 species